GAGCUGGAACCUGCCCACCAUUCUCCUGGGAAUAGACCACCUCUCCUAAGGGGCUGCCAUCUAAGUGAAAACCAAACUCUAUCAGAAACAGAUUUUUAAGAUUCUGAUUACAAGACCUCCACCUGCCAACUGAUGAAUCCUACCCUCUGGGGAAGAGGCUCUGCAAUCUCUACCUUUUAAAGGACUCCCAAGUGAUCUUGAUGCUAGAUUGCAGUGGACCCAUCUGAGCUCCAAGUCUUGCAGAACUGAGAUAAAUCCUCUGGGGAACCCCCUUGGAAAGUUGGGGAGCUAGACAUGCAAAGCAACACUGUCCCUCCUCUGGGAGAAGCUAGGAGCUUCGAGGUCUCUUUCUGAUCCUAUGGCAUUGACUCAGCUUCUCUCUUACCUCAGGCAAAUGGAAAGCAAAACCUCCCCUCUAGCAAUAACGGCUGCUCUACAAGACCUCCGGCCGGCUGAGACUGCCCAAAUCAGUUUGAGCAAAAGCCCACCUCAUGCCUGUGCAGAAGAACCAUGGAGUAACCUUUAGAAUGAUGGACAGCUACCUUUACCUCAUUAUAAUACUAGAAUCUCCACCCAAGGAGGAGCACAAGGCUCAUUUACAUAACAUACUAUGUGUGUGUAGGCAUGUUUCCAUAAGGCGCAUACAGGACUUUAUGCCUGCCUCUAUAUACGAAGACAAGGAUCUCCUUCUGAAAUAGUCAUGCUAACCCUAAAUAAAAGGAACCCAUCCACCCUUGCUUGGGGAGUCAUGGCUUUGGAGGUUAUUCCCUGUGAUCUCCUUAUUUGCUGCAAAUAAAUGUGACUUUGU